GUGGUGUUGGUGUGAAGGUUGUAGGAGGUGAUGAAGGUGAGGGUGUUAGAGGUGGUGUUGGUGUGAAGGUUGUCGGAGGUGAUGAAGGUGAGGGUGUUAGAGGUGGUGUUGGUGUGAAGGUUGUAGGAGGUGAUGAAGGUGAGGGUGUUAGAGGUGGUGUUGGUGUGAAGGUUGUAGGAGGUGAUGAAGGUGAGGGUGUUAGCGGUGGUGUUGGUGUGAAGGUUGUAGGAGGUGAUGAAGGUGAGGGUGUUAGAGGUGGUGUUGGUGUGAAGGUUGUCGGAGGUGAUGAAGGUGAGGGUGUUAGAGGUGGUGUUGGUGUGAAGGUUGUAGGAGGUGAUGAAGGUGAGGGUGUUAGAGGUGGUGUUGGUGUGAAGGUUGUAGGAGGUGAUGAAGGUGAGGGUGUUAGAGGUGGUGUUGGUGUGAAGGUUGUAGGAGGUGAUGAAGGUGAGGGUGUUAGAGGUGGUGUUGGUGUGAAGGUUGAUGCUUUGGAAGCUGAUGUGUUUGAGCAGAGAGUACAG
ensembl:lncRNA